ACCUGCGGCUGGAUCACCUCCUUUCCGGAGCGACUAGUAGAUCCCUGGCGGAUCGAAAGUCCAACGGAUGGUCGCCCGCCCGCACAGCUCGAUUCCAACCCGAUUGCAGUCAUCGCGGCGGCACUCUUCGGAGUGCCGCUACGCGUGCGCUGUUUGACAACGGAUAGUGGUAGUGAUUCGUGGGAUACGAAUCGUCACGAGAGAACGCAAUUAGCAGUGUAGCAUUGCCGACAUUGCAUUCACUCGAUGUACAGUAGAUCGCGCGUGCUCUGCUUGCCGCGGUGGUCGCAACAGCGGCUGUCGUAGUCAAGCGAGCGAAGGCGUGUGGGGGAUACCUAGGCACACAGAGA
rnacentral:misc_RNA from 1 species